UUUGUCUGCUUUCCGCUGCUUUCGUUUGGUUGUAAGAGACAAAGUUCAAGAUUUAUAUUGUUAUGGAUUUAUUUUCUUUUGAUAACCGUCAUGCUCCAUGCUGUUUAUAGCAGAUUUGAGGCCAGAGCCAGCCAUCAUAUCAACAAGAUAUGCAAGUUUUUCUUGUGCAGGUCAGCAGGUGUUACCCUGUCAUCAGCAAGGAUCAUCGCUUGGAUACACAGCAUCCCAGAUGCCUGGCUGUAUUUCCUAUGCAUAAAGGUAGG